UCCGGAGGGAGCUAGCGUUGUUCGGAUAUACUGGGCGUAAAGCGCACGUAGGCGGCGCCGUAAGUCAGGGGUGAAAUCCCGGAGCUCAACUCCGGAACUGCCCUUGAAACUGCAGUGCUAGAAUCUUGGAGAGGCGAGUGGAAUUCCGAGUGUAGAGGUGAAAUUCGUAGAUAUUCGGAAGAACACCAGUGGCGAAGGCGACUCGCUGGACAAGUAUUGACGCUGAGGUGCGAAAGCGUGGGGAGCAAACAGG
rnacentral:rRNA from 1 species